rnacentral:rRNA from 1 species
UAGCGAGCCCACCUCCCACCCGUGUUUACUGUACCUUAGUUGCUUCGGCGGGCCCGCCAUUCGUGGCCGCCGGGGGCUCUCAGCCCCGGGCCCGCGCCCGCCGGAGACACCACGAACUCUGUCUGAUCUAGUGAAGUCUGAGUUGAUUGUAUCGCAAUCAGUUAAAACUUUCAACAAUGGAUCUCUUGGUUCCGGCAUCGAUGAAGAACGCAGCGAAAUGCGAUAACUAGUGUGAAUUGCAGAAUUCCGUGAAUCAUCGAGUCUUUGAACGCACAUUGCGCCCCCUGGUAUUCCGGGGGGCAUGCCUGUCCGAGCGUCAUUGCUGCCCAUCAAGCACGGCUUGUGUGUUGGGUCGUCGUCCCCUCUCCGGGGGGGACGGGCCCCAAAGGCAGCGGCGGCACCGCGUCCGAUCCUCGAGCGUAUGGGGCUUUGUCACCCGCUCUGUAGGCCCGGCCGGCGCUUGCCGAACGCAAAUCAAUCUUUUUCCAGGUUGACCUCGGAUCAGGUAGGGAUACCCGCUGAACUUAAGCAUAUCAAUAAGCGG